CCUACGGGAGGCUGCAGUGGGGAAUAUUGGACAAUGGGCGCAAGCCUGAUCCAGCAAUGCCGCGUGAGUGAAGAAGGCCUUCGGGUUGUAAAGCUCUUUUGUCAGGGAAGAAACGGCCUGUUCUAAUACAGUGGGCUAAUGACGGUACCUGAAGAAUAAGCACCGGCUAACUACGUGCCAGCAGCCGCGGUAAUACGUAGGGUGCAAGCGUUAAUCGGAAUUACUGGGCGUAAAGCGUGCGCAGGCGGUUUUGUAAGACUGUCGUGAAAUCCCCGGGCUCAACCUGGGAAUGGCGAUGGUGACUGCAAGGCUAGAGUUUGGCAGAGGGGGGUAGAAUUCCACGUGUAGCAGUGAAAUUCGUAGAUAUCGGGAGGAACACCAGUGGCGAAGGCGGCGACCUGGGCAGAUACUGACGCUGAGGUGCGAAAGCGUGGGGAGCA
rnacentral:rRNA from 1 species